rnacentral:rRNA from 1 species
UUAGGAAUCUUCCACAAUGGGCGAAAGCCUGAUGGAGCGACGCCGCGUGAGGGAUGAAGGCCUUAGGGUUGUAAACCUCUAAAAGAGGGACGAUAAUGACGGUACCUCUUGAAUAGCACCGGCUAACUCCGUGCCAGCAGCCGCGGUAAUACGGAGGGUGCAAGCGUUAUCCGGAAUCACUGGGCGUAAAGGGCGCGUAGGCGGUCUGUUAAGUCCGAUGUUAAAUCCCGGGGCUCAACCCCGGAUCAGCGUUGGAUACUGGCAGGCUAGACGGUUGGAGAGGCGAGUGGAAUUACCAGUGUAGCGGUGAAAUGCGUAGAUACUGGUAGGAACACCCAUUGCGAAGGCAGCUCGCUGGACAACACGUGACGCUGAGGCGCGAAAGUGUGGGGAGCAAACC